GAUGAACGCUGGCGGCGUGCCUAAUACAUGCAAGUCGAGCGAACGGACGAGAAGCUUGCUUUUCUGAUGUUAGCGGCGGACGGGUGAGUAACACGUGGAUAACCUACCUAUAAGACUGGGAUAACUUCGGGAAACCGGAGCUAAUACCGGAUAAUAUUUUGAACCGCAUGGUUCAAAAGUGAAAGACGGUCUUGCUGUCACUUAUAGAUGGAUCCGCGCUGCAUUAGCUAGUUGGUAAGGUAACGGCUUACCAAGGCAACGAUGCAUAGCCGACCUGAGAGGGUGAUCGGCCACACUGGAACUGAGACACGGUCCAGACUCCUACGGGAGGCAGCAGUGGGGAAUCUUCCGCAAAGGGCGAAAGCCUGACGGAGCAACGCCGCGUGAGUGAUGAAGGUCUUCGGAUCGUAAAACUCUGUUAUUAGGGAAGAACAUAUGUGUAAGUAACUGUGCACAUCUUGACGGUACCUAAUCAGAAAGCCCCGGCUAACUACGUG
rnacentral:rRNA from 1 species